UUACAUCUCUUCGGAGCAUUUUACGUAGGUGCUGCAUGGUUGUCGUCAGCUCGUGCCGUGAGGUGUCGGGUUAAGUCCCAUAACGAGCGCAACCCUACCUUUAGUUGCCAUCAGGUAAUGCUGGGGACUCUAAAGGAACUGCCUACGCAAGUAGUGAGGAAGGCGGGGAUGACGUCAAAUCAGCACGGCCCUUACGUCCAGGGCUACACACGUGCUACAAUGGCCGAUACAGAGGGCAGCUACCUGGUGACAGGAUGCAAAUCUCCAAAGUCGGUCUCAGUUCGGAUCGGAGUCUGCAACCCGACUCCGUGAAGUUGGAUUCGCUAGUAAUCGCGCAUCAGCCAUGGCGCGGUGAAUACGUUCCCGGGCCUU
rnacentral:rRNA from 1 species